rnacentral:lncRNA from 1 species
CCCAGACUGAUAGCUGGGAUACCAGCAUGGGACUGAUCCAGACCCCAGGAACGUUGAGUAUCUGCAUAUUGCCAGAGGCUUAAGAGCUUGGACCUUGAUCUGAGUUACUGCCCAGCAUUGGUGGCCCAUGCCUUUAAUCCCUGCACUCUGGAGGCAAAGAUGCCUUGCUGGAACCCUUAAGAAGUAACGAAGGGCAAUACAUAGUGAAGGUCCUCCCUGAGAUCCAGAAAGAAGGGAAUAUACACUGACAGAUCACCCAGAUCACCUGUGGAAUGGCCAGCAUCAAGCAGCUGCAGCUUAAACAAAAGAAUAACAUUUUGGCACCUGGACGUGGAAAGGCUCUGCCCUUAUACCUUCUCCCGAGGCCCGUUGGCGGGCGUGUGUUAGGUCAAGGGUACCCUUAACACACGGAUAGACAACCCAUGUUCCAUCUCACUGGUUUGCUGGGACUCUUCAUACAACACCAGACCCAAUUCGGUCUAAAAGGCACCAGAUAGUACCACAUGGCCCAGACUACAAUGAAACAACAAUCAACCCCAGGACAUGGCAGCACCCCAACCCUCCAAAGACAGUCAAUGCCCCAGGCCAGCAGGAAGCAGCCUUGAGACAUCUUCGCCCCUACUUCCCUAACCUGCCACGCCAAAUUCUCCAACUUUUAUAAUAAACAGCUGGGAUUGUAAGAACAAUACACCUGGAUGACCCUGCCCCU